GUGUGUGUGUGUGUGUGUGUUUCUGAGAGACAGAGAGACAGAGACAGAGACUUAGGUAUGUGAUUUAUCUCCACUCUGUUUCUACUACUUUCAGGGGCACUAUUUUUUAUUUAUCACCAUUGUAUACCUGAAAAGCACAACAUCAUGCUACAAAGCAGUGUCUUCUCUAUGUGCCUGGAGACCAGGCAAAAGGAAAAGAAGACAAUUCACAGCACACCAAGUUUACAGUCACAGAGACCACAUGCGCUAGCACAGCAGAUUCUUGGCUGAGGGCCCUGGUUAAAGGAAGAAUCUUCGAAGUCAUCAAUUUUAAUGAGCACUCCCCACACUGCAAACAACAUUGUCCCCAUUACACAGGCAAAGAAACGGUGGCCUGGACAAUAUGAUAAAUGCAGACACUGCGGCAGUAGUCAUUCUAGGAAGUGUGAAAUUCUGAAGCAUAAACAAGAGCAGAAAGAAGAGCAGCUUGAGAAACGGAGAAACAACAACGCUCCUCUCUCCCAGGGCCUUUCUCAUCCCUGCCUACAGCUGUUGCCUCCAACCGCUCCCAGAGAUCACUCGAACCUGGUCCUCCCUCCCAGCCCCCGGUCCUCCCUCCCAGCCCC